rnacentral:sRNA from 1 species
GCAGAGGCUGGCGGGGAGCAGCCGGGGUUAUGCUGGGCAAGGAUUACAUGCUGGCCAUCAUUCUGGUCAACUGCGAUGAUGACUUGUGGGAGGACCACAGUCUGGAGGGGGAGGCUGGCCUGCCUCCUGGCUGGAGGAAGAUCCACGAUGCUGCAGGUACUUACUACUGGCAUGUACCCAGCGGUAGCACCCAGUGGCAGCGCCCAACCUGGGAACUAGGAGAUGCAGAGGACCCAGGCACGGGAACGGAGGGGAUCUGGGGACUGCGGCCCCCCAAAGGGAGAUCCUUCUCCAGCCUGGAGAGUUCACUGGACCGGAGUAACUCUCUGUCCUGGUAUGGUGAGGAAUCCUACAUCCAGAGCAUGGAGCCAGGGGCUAAGUGCUUUGCAGUCCGCUCUCUGGGCUGGGUAGAAGUACCUGAAGAGGACCUGGCACCGGGGAAGAGCAGUAUUGCAGUCAAUAACUGUAUCCAGCAGCUGGCCCAGACCCGCAGCCGGAGCCAGCCUCCAGAUGGUGCCUGGGGUGAGGGCCAGAACAUGCUGAUGAUCCUGAAGAAGGAUGCCAUGAGCCUAGUGAAUCCCGUGGACCACAGUCUGAUCCACUGCCAGCCUCUGGUGCACAUCCGUGUGUGGGGCGUGGGGAGCUCCAAGGGCCGGUGAGGAUGCCUACAUCCCCCAAGCAAGAGCUACUUCUCCCUCCCGGCUGCAGGCUGUGAUCCCCACU